rnacentral:lncRNA from 1 species
AAAUUUUUAGUAAUUAAUCAAAUUUUUAGAGGAAUUAAAUAUCUUUUCUUUUGUCCGGCCAUUAUGAUAGACUUCAAUUCUUAACAAACUCCAUAUAUUAUUUAUGUAGUCUACUAUUUAAUUAAUUAAGUUUAUGGUUAAUAUUUAAUUAGUAUGCAUAAACUAUUAGUUAUUUUAGACUAAACUUAUCCUAAUGAUCACGUGUGCAAAGGAUAUGCUCCAGUAAUGUCUCCUCAUUAUUAUAGUAGUUGGUUUGGGCCCCAAUAUCAAAAGUUAAUCCCCAAGUCAGAUUAUAUCAAACAGGAGGUUAGGAUUUCCAAACCAAAUUUCUGGGAUGUACUUGGACGAAAUUUAGAGUUCUAAUUUCAGUGAAAUUCCACUCCCCACGUGAUUACCCUACACCGUGGUUUAGUAUAAAUAUAGCACUAAGCCUCAAGCAUUCAGUAAUUAAUUCCUCAUUCUUCUUCUGCGCGUCUUUAUUCUCUCCUCCUCUUUAAAAUAUUUCUCCAUAUUAUUAAGGCUUUUUAAGGCUUUGGAAUUGCAAUAAAGAAUCACGUUUUCAGCAAUUUUACUUUCCACGUUCAUCUUCAAAAGGUGAGAUGCUCAGUGCUAUUAGUGGUUUGUCCACAUCUUUUCAAAAACGUUGUUAUGUAUGGAUUUAAUUACUUCAGUUCAGAGCUCUUUUGGGAGAAAUCAUGAUACAGUUUAAGGCACAAUUUAGCCUUCACGUUAUUUGCAGCGCUUGCUUGAAUUAUCAUUUGUCAUGGUGUGAUAAUUCUCAUGUUAUGUUGGUAAGAGAAUUUAUGCAUAAUUUCACGUUUGAUUUGAAUGUGGAGUAGCAAGCACCUCAUUGAGUAUAAUUCGUUAUACUCAUCCCUCUCUAUUUACAAUUUUCAGGUAGAAAUUAGUAUGCUGGACGACGGUGGAUGGAUGCAUAUUGGACCAAUGGAUCUCCAUCAUGAAGUACUUUAAUUUUUAGAAACACUAGAAUAUUUAUUAACAGUUGAUUAUUAUUAUUUUUAAAUUUAGACUCAAUUGUGAGUCACGUCAUAACUUUCAAUUAGUCCUAUUUUUAUUAUUUGUUAGAACUACUUUUAUUAAUGUUUGAUAAAAGAUAUGAUUCCAAAUUGUUCCGCAUAUGUUAUUUAAUUUAAUUUACCUUUUGUUAAGGUUGUUCAAUUUUUACUGAAUUCCUCGUUAUAUUAAAAUGUAUUUGCCUCAAGCACUUUAUUAAUCAAUUCACGUUUGGUAACGUUCCGGGUUGCUAGAGAAUUCGGGGCGUUACAGAGUAUGCCCUACGGCUCCGUACCGGCCAGACCUACGCGGUCGAGGAAACUCUCCGGUAGAUGGUAUUCUAGAUGUAUUUGGACGUCCAAGACCAUGCGGUUCAACUGCUGGUGGUAACAAAUUAUGAAAUGGGAGAAUGUGCUCGGGAACUUCCCACUCGGCUUCAUUCGGCAGAGGAAAUAUAGUCUUGACAUAUGCUGUUCUCCAAGACUCAGUCGUAUAAUACAAAGAGCAUAACAUUCUCGCAGCAAAGCCUCGAUAAAUGGCCACCGCAACUGCAUGCUCACAUGGAAAACUCUCCAACUGAAAUCUCGUACAAGUGCAUGUGUUAUCAGUCAAGUCCACCAUACAUGCCGUAUUACGUGCACAUUGCACGGAGAAGCGAAACUCGUCUAGUGCUUCCACAUUCAACUUCCUUGCAACCUCUGCCGCCUUAAACAGUUUCUCCUCUUGAGCUGGGGUCAACACGCUAGUGCAACUCUGUGAUGCCGCACGUCGGUCAUGAAACCACUGUUGUAGCUUGUUACGAAUGUUCUCAAUCAUUGCGAGAAUUAGUAACUCUCGAUCCUUCUUAAACAAUGCAUUGAGAGACUUCACGUUAUUCGACAUCAUCAUGUUGUAUCGAUGUCCUGGAAAGUAUGACCGCACCCAAUGUUCGAUCCCCAUCUUCGUCAGAUACUCCAACGCCAGUAAUGAUUUACUUCAUAUCUCGAGCAUGAACUUAUUACACUCUUCAGUACUGUAAGCUUCGGCUGCUCUCCUGAGCAAUGAAAUGAUACCUGUGCCCCGAUAUCUAGUUUUCAAAUUACCUUGUAUAUGGUACAUGCAAUACCCGUG